AGCGGCGGACGGGUGAGUAAUGCUUAGGAAUCUGCCAUUUAGUGGGGGACAACAUUCCGGAAGGAAUGCUAAUACCGCAUACGUCCUACGGGAGAAAGCAGGGGAUCUUCGGACCUUGCGCUAAAUGAUGAGCCUAAGUCGGAUUAGCUAGUUGGUGGGGUAAAGGCCUACCAAGGCGACGAUCUGUAGCGGGUCUGAGAGGAUGAUCCGCCACACUGGGACUGAGACACGGCCCAGACUCCUACGGGAGGCAGCAGUGGGGAAUAUUGGACAAUGGGCGGAAGCCUGAUCCAGCCAUGCCGCGUGUGUGAAGAAGGCCUUUUGGUUGUAAAGCACUUUAAGCGAGGAGGAGGCUACCUAGAUUAAUACUCUGGGAUAGUGGACGUUACUCGCAGAAUAAGCACCGGCUAACUCUGUGCCAGCAGCCGCGGUAAUACAGAGGGUGCGAGCGUUAAUCGGAUUUACUGGGCGUAAAGCGUGCGUAGGCGGCUUUUUAAGUCGGAUGUGAAAUCCCCGAGCUUAACUUGGGAAUUGCAUUCGAUACUGGGAAGCUAGAGUAUGGGAGAGGAUGGUAGAAUUCCAGGUGUAGCGGUGAAAUGCGUAGAGAUCUGGAGGAAUACCGAUGGCGAAGGCAGCCAUCUGGCCUAAUACUGACGCUGAGGUACGAAAGCAUGGGGAGCAAACAGGAUUAGAUAUCCUGGUAGUCCAUGCCGUAAACGAUGUCUACUAGC
rnacentral:rRNA from 1 species